rnacentral:rRNA from 1 species
UACGUAGGGGGCAAGCGUUGUCCGGAGUUACUGGGCGUAAAGCGCACGCAGGCGGUCGCGUAAGAGUGCGGGGACAGUGGGCGGCUUAACUGCCCAAGGGUCGCACAGACUGCGUGACUGGAGGGCCAGAGAGGGACCUGGAAUUCCGGGUGGAGCGGUGAAAUGCGUAGAUAUCGGGAGGAACACCAGUGGCGAAGGCGACUACCUGGCCUGUUCUUGACGCUGAGGCGCGAAAGCUAGGGGAGCAAACGGG